UUUUGUUCUCCCCCAGGCAGCAACAGUGCCCAGAACUCUGAUGUCACAGCUGCUAAAGUGUGAGCCUUCUCACCCCCACUUUGUGACUUCAAGAUCCCUCCGGUCUCUCUUGUUGCAGAGGGCAUCCUCAUGUAUCUGGGGUCACAUAAGCAUAAUGUGGGGAGGUAAGGAGAUUGGCCUGGCCCUGCCCACCAGGCCCUCCCGACACUCACCUGUGUCUCUCCCUGAUGACUUUCCUGCUCCAGCAGAGGCGGCCGAGGCUUUCUCUACUCAUCUUUGUGUUUUUCCUGAAGAAUAACAUCUACUUCCCUGAUGAAAUAAUAAUCCAGUAGCACCUGUCCUAGCAGGACCUUUGAUCACAGGGACUCAGACAAGACCUGGGCCUGUCCUGUCUCCAGGAACAUGCAUCGCCAGCAGCAGUCCAAUCUGGCAGAAGUGAAAGUGCCAAUCCAGAACUUGAAAGCGAAACUCCCAAGAGGCCAUCUGACUUGCUAGUAUCUUCCAUCACCAAAUAGAUGAAGUUGGAGAUUGCAGUGAAUCAUAUGCCAGAGGGAGGCCGACAUAUGUUUGAGGAAGUAUGUAUCAGAAUGUCUGCCCCAGAAAAUUGCUGGAUUUUUCACCUGAGUAAUAUGUUAGAGCAGUAUAUGUUCAAAUGCCCAAAGGCAGGCAGCAACAUCACAAAUCCAAGUACACCAUCCAUUGACUAAAUCCAGUGAAGCAUUCUCAGCACAAUAAGGAAAAACUCCAAAGAGAGGGGGCUUCCUCUAAAAUCCUCCAAAUAUUUCACCUUGUGCCUGGACAUACCUUGUUAAACUCUGGGUUGUCGGAAGUCAUGACAUAUUUUUUCUGCUUUUCAAAUGUCAUUUGUUUAUAUUAAGAACAAAGAUCAGGGGCCUCCCUGGUGGUACAAGGAUUGAAGUCUCAGCACUAUGAAGCUAUCAGCAGCCACUGCAGCAUGAGUUUGAUCGCUGCCCAGGGAGCUAAUCCACAUGACACAGCAGACCUCUCCUGUCUCGCCUGGUACUCCCCUAGCAGUGUAUUUCAGUUGAUCUGCCUGUUCUGCUCCCCACUGUCUCUGGUGAAUGCUCUCACCUCCCCCACCCGCCACCCCUCUGGCCUGUACCCCAGCCCUUACAUGCAUAAAUCUUUAGGGAAAAAAAAAGAACAAAGAUCAAUGAUAUAUUGCCCACUUUGUUCAAAAACCUUUUGCCAUCUUUCAGUGAGCUUCAAAAUUCCUCGUUCAUAGAAGGAUCCAUCUUUACUAGUGAAAAACUGAACAAGGUGCUGAUUUACAGCCUCAUCUGAAUUGAAUAUUAUACCACGCAAGUUUUGAAGAGAGUGAAACAAGUGGAAGUGUGAAGGCGCAAGUUCAGGAGGGUAUGGUGGAUGCCGCAACACAUCCCAUCCAAGCUCCAGUAAUUUCUGAUGGGUGAUCAAACUUGUGUGUGGUCUCACAUUGAGAUGGAACACUACUCCUUUACCAUUAACAAGCUCUGGAAGUUUCUGGAUGAUGGAUUCAUUCAAGCCAUCCAAUUGCCGACACUACACAUUCGAAUUGAUUGUUUAUUUCCUUGGCAGGAACUCAAAAAAACAUGACACAUUUAAAAUCCCACCACACUGAGAGCAUAGUCUUCCUCUGACGAAUGACUGCUUUUGAUGUCAUUUGAGGUGAACUAUCAAGUUGGGACCAAGACUGUGCACCUCAUUAUACACAAUCCACUUCUCAUCACCAGUUUUCAGUUGCUUCAAAAAGGAUUGUUUUCUUCACGUUUAAUGAGCUACUGCAGCUGUUUAUAUGUGCCAUCAAAUGAACUUCUUUAAGUUCGUGAGGAACCCAAAAAUCAAGCCUGCAUCUAUAUCCCAGCUUUUCCAGGUGGUCGUGAACACUUGAAUGAUGGAUGUUCAAUGUUUCUGCAAUCUCUCAAUUCGAUCGAUGCCUUUAUUUUGUCGUCAUCAACCUCUCUGACCAAGGAGCGUUGUUGAGAUCAAAAUCACCAGCAUGGAAUCUCAUGAACCAUCGCUAGCACUGACGCUGUUGUAGAGCACUGUACCAGUAAACUUUUUUUUUAAAGAUUUAUUUAUUUAUUUAUACAAGAACCGGGGUACAGGUCAGAUGUGCAGGAGGGUGAGAGGAUUCACCAGAGACAGCGGGGAACAGAACAGGCAGACUGACAAAAAAUACACUGUUGAGGGGAGCAGCGGGCGUGACAGGAGAGGUCUGCCACGCCAUGUGGGACACUUGCCUGCCGGCUGGGAUGGAACCAGCGCUAUAGAGGCUGCGGACAGCUUUAUAGGCUGUACUCAACCGCCUGCACCACCAGGGGAGGCCCUGUACCCAUAAAUUUAUGCAACUUUUCACAAGCUUGAUGUGUGUUCUUCCCGUUAUGGAAGUAAAACAGUAAAACAUGGUGAAAAUGCAGAGUUUGGUCUUCCAUCAACUUGUUGUAAAAUCUCCAAAACUAACCAAAUCGCUCAAUUUAUUUUAGAAUGAAGCUAGAACUGCCAACUGUCAAGUGACUAGCAAUAACGUAGAUGUAAAUGACCCUAGUACUUCCGAACAUGCCAUCUGUUGCAAACAUGCGUCAUGACUUUUCCAACAACCCAAUAAUUGCAGAGGCUCUUUGAUCCAGAUUAGUUUGGUUCUGCCUUUGCCUUCAAACUUUUUUCCAGCAGAUAUGCAGACACUAUCAAAUUGCAAUUUUGUCAUGGCUUCUUGGAUGUUGCAGUUAGUCUGAAUAAAAUAAAAAGCAAAUAUAUGAAGUGACAGUAUAAUUCAACUUUCACAUUAUAAUAAUACCUAGCAUUAACCUAGCUAUUCCUUUACAGAAAAUAAUCCUUAUGACACUCUAGUAUUACAUACUGUUUACAGCUGAAAAAUACUGAGGUUUAGAAAAAAUUACGUAGUUUCUUUAAAAAUCUCACAAAUAGUAAAUGGUAGGAGUUCUGGAUUUGAAUAUCUAGCUUUAGCUUCAUAUCUCUUAUACUUCUCAUUAUACCAUUGGAACAGCCCAUAUAUCAAUAUAUAGCUGUUGUGCUCUGCAGGAUUUUUAUGUCUAAGCUAGUUUCUGCUUCUAUUCCACUUCCACCUUCCCAGUCACCCUGCUUCUUCCAUAAGACACAGCCCUUGCCUGUCUGCUGGCCCCAACCCCAUGCCCACAUUACAUAAUGGAAGAGCAGAGGGGCCCUGCUGGCCCCCUUUUAACAUCACCCUGGAGCCUAGGCCCAUCCAGCCGCCCCUGUCACAGCCAUACCAAGCCCUAGCUACUGCUGAGCGAAUCUCACGUUUGGGGUCUCUGAAUUUCUCAUCUAUAAUUUUACUUAUUAGUCUAAUUCAGGCAUUUCUUCUUUUCACACUGAGCUUCUGUUUCCUCACUGACAUCUUUACAUCCGAUAUCCAUUUGGAUAGCCAUUACUAAAUAAAACAUACAAAAUUGUACUUUUCACCAUCUCACUCCCUAUCCAAAAAUCACCAGAAGACCCCUAUUACCAAUUCACAUAGAAAAUUUUCAAUGUUACUAUGAGGAAACCACUCAGUAUUUCCUUUGAUACUGUUAAGCAGCAUUGAGUUUGCUUGUAUUAAAGGCCAGGUUGUGAAACAGUAAAGCCUAGUUCUAAGGCAACCAGCUGUCAGUAGCAGUGAUGGAAAAAGGGAAGAUUAAAAAAAUCUUCUAAGAAACUUUUAUUAAAUAUGUUUAUUUGAAUAAAAUAUAGGAAAGUACAAAAAUCAUAAUAAAUGCCCACAAAGCAAAACUGCACACAUUUGUGCUACUACCGCUUAGAUUAAUAGAAGUGUAGGAAGAAGCAGUACCUGACCAGCAUAAUGCUGAUAACAAAACCAAAGACAGCACAAAAAAUGAAAACUGCAAGCCAAUUUCUCUGAUGAACAAAGUCAAGAAUCCUCAGCAAAAUAUUAGCAAACCGAAUUCAACAAUACAUUAAAAAAAUACACCAUGACCAAGUUGGAUUUAUUCCAGGGAUGCAGGGAUGUUUAUCAUACACAAAUUCAUCAAUGUGGUUCAGUAAAUCAACAAAUUGAAAAAUAAAAAUUAUAUGAUCAUGUCAAAAGUGCAGAAAAUGCAUGUGAUAAAAUUCAGCCUGCAUUUAUGAUAAAAACUCAAUAAAAUGGCACAGAAGGAACAUACGUAAAGAUAACAAAGGGCAUACACAACAUAGCCAUAGGUAACAUAUCUCAUUUGGGAAAAGUUGAGGGUUUUCCUCUAAAAUCAGGAAUAAGACGGAGAUGUUCAACUCACCGUUAUUUAACAUAAUUUCACACGUCCUGGUCAGAGCAAUUUGGCAAGAAAAAUAAAAGAUAUCCAGAUUGGAAAAGAAGUACAACUUGGCCCUAUAUACUGACUUAUAAACAGAUGAAAUGGUAUUAUACGUAGAAAUCUCUAAAAACUCCAACAGCAACAAACUGUUAGAAACAAUAAAGUUGCAGGCCAUAACAUACAAAAAUCUAUUGUGUUUAUGUACAACAUGAACUACCAGAAAGAGCAAUAAGGAAAACAAUACCAUUCACAAGUGCAGCAAAAAGUGUAAAAUUCAUAGGAAUAAAUUUAAGCAAGGAAGGAAAGGAAUUGUACACUGAAAAGUAUAAAACACUGUUGAAGGAAAUUAGAGAACACACAAAGAAAUGGAAAGACAUGCUGCACUCUUGAAUCAGAAGAAAUCAAUGUCAAAAUGGCCACUGUACUUAAAGUAAUAUAGAGAUUUAACUUAACGCCUACUAAGACCCUCUCGGCCUUCUUCCUCAGAAGCAUAUUUUUAAAAUCCUAAAAUUUCGGGCCUCCCCGGUGGCACAGCAGUUGAGCGCUGGGUUGCGAAGCUCCCCGCGGCCUCUGCGGCGCCGGUUCAAUCCCCGCCUGCUCCCCAGCCACCGGAGGAGGGUCCCACAUGGCGCGCAGACCUCUCCUGCCACUCGCUGCUCCCCUCAGCAGUGUACUUCGGUCCUUCUGCCUGCUCUGCUCCCCGCUCUGGCUCUGGUGAGUUCUCUCACCCUCCCGCGCUUCUUCUCCCAGUGCUAGUAUAAAAUAAAAAAAAAAUCUUAAAAAAAAAAAAUCCUGAAAUUUAUAUGAACACAAAUAGCCAAAAUAAACUUGAGUAAAAAAAGGACAAAAAUGGAGGUGUCAAGUUGACGGAUUUCAAACUAGAGAGCUACAGUAAUCAAAACAUUAUUUUACUGGACCAAAAUCAGGCACACAGAUGAAUGGAACAGAAUCAAGAUUCCAGAAAUAAAACCAUACAAACAUAGGUAACAAAUUUAUGACAAAGGCAUUAAAAGCAUAAAAUAGAGGGAGAAAAAAAUCUCUUCAAUAAAUAGUGCCAGAAAAAAAAAAAUAGCCACAUGUAAGAAUGAAACUAGAUCACUAUCACACACUAAAAUCAACUCAAAAUGGAUUAAGACUCAAAUCAUGAAAUAUACAGAAGAAAACAUAGAUUAAAAGCUCUUUAACAGUCUUAGUGAUGUUUUUCGUGGAUGUCUCCACAAAAUGAACAGGCAAAUAAGGGAGAUGAUAUCUGCAAACCAUGAACGGAAGGGAGAAGAUAUCUACAAACCAUGUGUCAGACAAGGGGUUAAUAUAUAAACAACUUAUACAACUCAACAACAUAAACAUACAACCAGAUUAAAAAAUGGGCAGAGGAUCUAAGUAGGCAUCUCACCAAUGAAGACAUACAGAUGGCCAACAGAUACACAAAACAAGUUCCACAUCAGGGAAAUGCAAACCAAAACCACAAUGAGAUUUCUCUUAACACCAGCUACAAUGACUAUUAUCAAGAAGUCAAGAAAUAGGGCUUCCCUGGCGGUGCAAGUGGUUAAGAUGCAAUCUAUGACACUAUCUCAGCCACUGCAGCACAAGUUCGAUCCCCGGCCAGGGAGCUACCCACAUGGCGCGGCAGACCUCUCCUGACUUGCCCGCCGUUCUCUUCAGUAGUGUAUUUCAGUCAAAUCCACCUGUUCUGCUCCCCACUCUGUCUCUGGUGAAUCCUCUCACCCCCCACACCUCUGGCCUAUGCCCCAAUGCUUGUAGUCAUAAUAAAAAAUAAAUCUUAAAAAAAGUCAAUAAAUGUUGGUGAGAAAAAGGACUGCUGAGUCACUGUUGGUUGGGGAUAUAAAUUGGUGUAAUUACUAUGGAAAACAGCAUAGAGGUUCCUCAAAAAAUUAAAAAUAGAAAUACCAUAAGAAUCAGUAAUCCCUCUUCUGGGUAUUCACCUGAAGAAUAUGAAAACACUAACUCAAAAAGACAUGUGCUCACUGUAGCACUAUUCACAAUAGCCAAUAUAUGGAAACAACCCAAGCACCCAAUGACAGAUGAAUGAAUAAAAUGUGGUGUGUAUACACACACACACAAUGGAAUACUUAAUUUUUUUAAAAAAAUGAAAUCUUGGUUGUGAAAACAUGAAUGGACCUUAGAUUUUUUAAUAAUCAGCAGAAGAAAAGACAAAUACCAUAUGAUUUCACUAAUUUGUGGAAUAUAGAAAACAAAAACAGAUCCUGAGUCUGUCAGCAAAUGGUUACCAGAUGGGAAGGAGAUGGGAGGAAAUGGGUAGACAGGAUCAACUGGUUGGUGGUAGGUGGUGACUGGACACUUGGCGUUAGACUUAGUAAGUAGAUGUAAUCAUGGAGCCUGCAGAAUGUUGCAGACUAAUAUUACCACAAACUUAAAAGGAAAAAAGUGGCUAAGGAACUUCUGGUCACAAGAGGACAGUCACAACAUGUUUCCCUCUUCUUUUGCUCUCCUUUGU